rnacentral:misc_RNA from 1 species
AUGGAUACUCUCUCGUCUCACGGGAAUGAUGAACAAUUAUUAAUUUACGAAGGGGAUACCUUGUGAAUUGCUCCUCAAUUCCCUUCAGCUUACUCUUUGUUAGGGUCAUGCUUUCUUGAAUUGCUGAGCACAAGAAUGGUGGCAAUAUCUGAUUUGCUUUGCAUUACUGGAAACCAAACCAAGAGUCAUUUCGAUUGUUGUUAUUGUUAAGCACACA